CCUACGGGAGGCAGCAGUGGGGGAUAUUGCACAAUGGGGGAAACUCUGAUGCAGCGACGCCGCGUGAGUGAAGAAGUAUUUCGGUAUGUAAAGCUCUAUCAGUAGGGAAGAAAAUGACAGUACCUGACCAAGAAGCCCCGGCAAACUACGUGCCAGCAGCCGCGGGAAUACGGAGGGGGCAAGCGGUAUCCUGAUUUAAUGGGUGGAAAGGGGGCGUAGACGGUUAUGUAAGUCUGGAGUGAAAGCCCGGGGCCCAACCGCGGGACUGCUUUGGAAACUGUGUAACUGGAGUACAGGAGGGGCAGGCGGAAUUCCUGGUGUAGCGGUGAAAUGCGUAGAUAUCAGGAGGAACACCUGCGGCGAAGGCGGCCUGCUGGACUGAAACUGACGUUGAGGCUCGAAAGCGUGGGGAGCAAACAGGAUUAGAUACCCCUGUAGUC
rnacentral:rRNA from 1 species